AAAAAAAAAAAAAAAAAAUUCUAAAUCGCUCUUACCAAUACGAUUACAUAGAAGAAACCUUCCUCUUGCGUAAGGGAGUUGAACCCUCUUUAUUCGAUCACUGAUUAAGAGGAAUAUUAUUAAGCUUUUCAACACGUUGAUGCAAAUUUAAAUAAAUUAAAAUUUUAAUAUUUAUAUAAAUUAAAUUAGUCUAUUUGAUUGAUUAAAUUUUUUAGUAAAUUUUUUUAUUUUUUAUAUUUUAUUUUUAAUAUUUUAAGAUUUAAUUAAAAUAUUCUAACUAUAGUCUAAUUCUUUUUAUAUUAUAAAAAAUAAUAUAUUAUUAUCACUUUUUAAUUAGUAAAAUUAAACUGAAUUAAAAUAAUUAAAAAUUUUAAAAUUAAAAUUCAAAUCGAAUUGAAAUAAUAAAAAAUUAAAUUAAAAUUUUAAAAUAAUUCAAUUCAAUCAAACUUUUUAAUUUGAAUUAAAUAUGACUCACCUAAUUUUACGAAAGAAAUAUAAAAUUUUAGUUAAAUAUAAUAAUAGAAAUUCAUCGAGUUUAUUCUUUUAAGUUUCGAGCUUGAAUUUUUAAUUAGAGUUAAUUGUAAAUAAAAAAAUAUUAUUAAAUAAAAAAUAUUUCAGUGAAGUGACAUGAACCAUACAAAAAUCAAGUGAUGGUAUGAUAUAUUGAAUUUUUUUUUUUCUCUUUUAUAUUUGGAAGAAUUGUACUCAUUCUUGGUGAAAGAGAGGAUAUAGCAAGAUAGCUUAGAUAAAAAAAAAAUUUAAAAGUGAAUUUAUAUAUAUCUUUUAUAUUCGUUUUAUAAAUUGCAUAAGCCAAAAUAAUUGAAAUUAUUUGAAAUAAAUGAAUUAAAAUUUUUUUAAAUAAUGCAAUAAAUUUAAAUUUCAAUAGCAUUCUUUAUAUGCUGUUAAUAAUUUUAAAUAUAUAUAUAACUAAUGAAAAUUAUCGUUAAACAUUUCAUGAUGUGUAUAAAUCCUAUAAUUUAAUUAAAUUUUGAUUAAAAAUUUAUUAUAUUUUAUAUAUUUACCAUCAAAGCGUAUUAUAUUUCUUGAUGUUAUUUAUUAUGUAAAUCAUUUAGUUGUGUUUAAUUAUCUACCAUUUAAUUAAUAUGUAUGUAUAAUUUUUUUAUUUACGAUAAUAAAUAUUAUUAAAAAUAUAAAUAAUUUUAUAAUCGAUUUUAAUGGAUUUACAAUAAAUUUAUAAAAUAAUAUUAAUAUUUUUAAUGAAUUUAUGAUUAUUUUUGUUAAAAUGAUCUUUCUAUUUUCAAUAGUAAUUUUUCGUCUUUAAUUAUUUCUGACAGAUUAGCGAUAGAUUGAUUAUCGGAUGAAUUUAGAUUUUUUGAUGAAUUUAAUGAUGAAUAAAAUUUAUCACUAAUAUUUUUUGAUGGAAUAAUCAGUCAAAAUUCUGUUGCAAAUAUUUUUGAUAUAUUUUAAAUUGUUAAAAAUCUGUUACAUAUUAGCGAUAAAAUUUUAAGUGACGAAUUUUAAUUUAUAGAAAAUCAUCGCCGAAAGUGUUAGGUGCGGAUUUUAGACUAUCAGCGAUCAAAUUUUCCGUCUAACGGAUAGUCCGUUUUUUAUAAUGAUACAUAUUUAAAAGUUUUAGUUAAAUUAAUUUUAAAUAAUUUUUUUUUUCUUUAUGUAUUUUUCAAAUUCAAUAUAAAUAACUUAUUCUGCACAAUCUCGGACACACAUAUACAAUCAGAACUAUUCUUUUUUUUUUUUUUUUUUGUGGGAGCUUUAAUUUAUUCUCAUCUUAAAAACAGACCAAAAGAAUAUGGAAUUUUAGUUAAAUAUAAUAACGGAAAUUAGAUAAAAUCAUGACUAAAAAUUAUCAGCAUAUAUUUAUUGUCUAUAAAAUUUAUAAUUUAUAACUUUUAAUAAAAAAUUUAUAUUAAUUUAUAACCACUAUAUAUUAUUUAUUAAUUUAUAAAUUAUUUUAAUAUUAAAAUGUAUUAUAUUUCUUGAUCUUAUUUAUUGUGCAACUAUUUUAUAUAAAAUAAUGUUAAAAAAUAUUCAUUGGAGCCUUCUAAUUGGAGGCAUAAUAUAAUAUUCAUUAUAUUUAUCAUUAAAACUAAUAUUAAGUUUGUUUCAAUUUUAAUUCUUAAAAUUUUGUAAAAUUUAAUUAAAUUUUAUAUUUUAUGUUUCUAGUUUGAAGAGAUAUUAAAAUUAGUAUUAAGAAUUCAAUUUUAUGGAAUUGGUUAUAAUUAAAAAAUUAAUUCUUUCAAAUUUUGAUAAAAUUUGAAAUAUUAUAUAAUAAUAUUUUAUAAACUAACAUGUUCAUAAUAAAAAUUUUUCUUUCUAUUAUCAUUUAUUUUAUUAGUUGAUUAAAUAAAUAGUUAAAAAUUAAUAAAUAAUUAAAAAAUAUUGAUGAUUACAAUAAAUGAUUAAAAUUUAUUUUAAUAAAUAAUUAUAUUUUUAAUUUUACUAUUAUUUUAUAAACAUUAAAUAAAAAUAAUAGUAUUACAUAAUCAGUCGUCUACCUUGAACCUUCAAAUUCUCUGAAUAUAUUUUGAUAUCAACUCUCAUAUUAAUUUAUUUUUAUUUUAUCAAUAUAUUAUUAAUAAAUUUAUAUUUUUAUUUAUUAUUACUAUUAUAAUAAAUUUAUUAUGAAUAAUUUUUUUUAUAAUAAAAAAUUAUAUAUAUAUACACUUUAUUCUUAGGGUAAUUUAGAGAGUAAAUAAAUUUCAAUUCUAAAAUUAAAUCAAACAAAAAUUAUGUAAAAUUAAAUUGAAUUCUACAUUUUUAAGUUAUAUUAAAUUAAAUAAUGAAAUUUAUUUCAAAUAAAUUUUAUUCAUAAUUUAAUUGAAUUAUAUAUAAUUUUAGUCAUAAAAUUAAACAGGAGAAUAUAUAUCAAUUACUUGUAUAAGGCACACAUUAGGUUCAUAUAAUAAGGGGAAAUCACAGCAGGAAGAUUAUAAUCCUCCCAUGGUUUUACACACACAGAAACCAAAAAAACCCAAAAGAAAAAAAAAAAAAAAAGGUGGAAAUUACAUUACAUGUUAAUUAUUGAGGAUGGCAAGAACACCAUUUAUUUAUUCCUCCCAUUUCCAGUGAUUAGAAACUUCAAACUUUUUCUUUUUGACAAAGAAAAAAUUUACCUAACAUUAAACCCAAGGUUGUAAGCAUAUUUGACGAGAUCAUCAAUCUCUGACAUGUCGAUAACUCCAUCUCCAUUAGCAUCAGAAAAUUUGAUCCCUUGACGGGCCCUAUAAGCAGGGAACAUAGCUCCAAGAUAAUUGAAAGCUUGUCUGAUCUCUUCUCUGCUAAGAACAUUGUCUCCAUUUAAAUCGAACUUCAUGAAAACUUGCCUCACUUGUUCUUCAGUGAAGGGAACAGGAGCAUCUUUGUAUUUGUUCACACGGAAGGGAUUCACCGCCAUAUGAUAUUGACGUGGUGCCGGUGGCGGUGGUGGUGGUGGAUUGUUUGCAAACCAAACACCUUGUGGAGGAGGAGGAGGAGGUGGAGGUGGUCCCCAGAAAGACUGAGACCUGUCAUAAUAGAUUGGCGGCUUUUCUUCAUACAUUGGCUGAUUGUAUGGAGAAGGAUAAGGAACAACGUUAUAGUCUUGGGUAUAGCAGCGAUCGUAGUACAUGAUUUUCAAGUGGCGAGGAUAAUAACUGGAGCAGGUUUUGAGUUUGAAGUUUUGUUUGAACUUGGGAUGGAUUUGAAUCCAUGAAAGCAAUCUUAUUUAUAAGCUGCUUCAGGGUGUUUUUUUUUUUUUUUUUUUCCACUUGAAUGAAUAAUGUUCUAACUUAUCUUACCAGGAAUAAUUAAAUCUUUCCUUCAAGUGGGAAUCUCUUUUUUAUGUUAUUAAAUAUGCUGCGGUUAAAUUUAAAUUAGAUUUCAUAUCAGUAUGAAUAUAAAAAUUGUACACAAUGUUAUAAAAUACUAUUUAAAUAUAAAAUUGAAUCAUAGACUCUAAAAUGAAAAUUCUUAUAAAAUUAUAAGAUAUUUUUUAUUUUUUUUUUAAUUAUAAAACUUAAGAUAAAUAAAUAAUGAACUGAUAUGCAAAGGACAGUUUAACAUGACAAUACGAAGUGGAGAAUAUGUUACAGGACUCACAUGAUAGAUAUCAUUAUCAAAUUGAUAAUGAAGAAUAAAGAUUUAUGCCUUCAAAUUCAUUCCAUCUUGGACCUCCUUAUUUAAUCAUUUUUAUGCUAUAAAUUAUUACAAUUCAUUUUAGUUAGCUGAGUAAUUAUGUUGCAAUUAACACUUAUAUAUAUUUCAAUUUUUUAAAAAUAAAUAAUUUAUUUUUUAUAUUUUAAUUUUAUUAAAUUAAUAAAAAAUUAUUUUAACAAAAGUACUUUCAGUUUAACAGAAUCAAAAUAUAUGAAUUAAUAUGUUGAAUUUUAAAAGUAAAAUGAUAUGUAUAUUAACAUCAGAGAUAUGUAAAAGUGAUUUUUUUUUUAUUUAUAAGUAUAAAUUAUAAGAUUUAAGUAUGAUAUUAAAUUUGAAUUAUAGCAUUAUUGAAAAGUAAUGAAUAUAGAUUUGCUCAUCUUUCUUAAUCACAUGAAAUGAGAGUUUGGCAUAUAAUAAAAUAAAGUAGCAAAAUAUUCUUAGGUCAGUUGGCCAACAUCAUCUUCAAAGCAUUUUUGACGUCACAGAUGUGCCCACGCCUUUGACUAGUCGGUUUUACAUAUUAUUCUGAAAACUAUAUUUACCUUUGUUUUUUUAAGCAAAGCAAAAUCUUACCAUCAUUCAUCCUUUAAAACCAAGUGAUCCGAUUAGAAGGUAGCAUUUAAUCGGUUCAAUUUAAAAUCAAACUGAAUUAAAUAUAUUAAAAAUUAAAAUUUUAAUAUUUAUAUAAAUUAAAUCGAAUCGAAUUGAUUUUAAUUAGAAAUUAAAUUGGACUGAAUCACUUUGAUUCAGCUCAAUUCAAUUUAAUUUGAUCAGUAUGAAUUUUUAAUAUAUUUUUUUAAUUUUUAUACUUUAUUUUUAAUAAUUAAAAUUUUAAUUAAAAUAUUUUAACUUUAAUAUAAUUUGAUCUUUUUCAAUAAUAUACUAUUAAUAUUAAUUCGUUCGGUUCGAUUUUUUAAAUUCUUUUCUGAUUAAAAUUAAAUCGAAUAAAAAUAAUUGAAAAUUUUAAAAUUAAAAGCUAAAUUAAACUAAAAUAAAUAAAAAAAAUUAAAUCGAAUUUUCAAAUUAAUUUAAUUCGAUUAAUUUUUUUAAUUUAAAUCGAAUACUACUCCCACCAAUUGUAGAACUGAUUAGACUAAUAAUUGGAACAGUGAAUCAGUAAAAGAAAAAAUAAGAAGAAGAAUACUAUAAAUUUAUUUUAAAAUUAUAUAACCAAGGUUAAAUUGUCUAGUUUAAUUGGCUAAAAAAUAGAUGACUUGAUUUCAAAAUUUUAGAUUUCGAGUCUUAUUCCUUUUCGUAGUGUAUUUAAAUAUUAAAAAAAACAUACAUAAUAUUAUUUAAUUUCAUUAAGUUUUCUUUUUUUUUUUAUUAAAUGGUUAUUUAAUUAGUUUAUAUUUUGAUUUUAUUAGUUACCUAAUUAUAUAUAUAUAUGUCAGUUAUGCUAUAAUAAAUAGUAAUUAUUAUUAGGCAAAUUACAAUAUUUGAAAAUCUAUUUAUUAUACAUGCCUAUACUUUUAUAUGUUAUAUACAUAUAAUUUUUGUUUUUAUUUUUUUAUAGAAUAAUUGUGAUUCUCAAAUUAUUAAUAUUAUUUAAAAAUGAUAUUUUUAUAUAUUAUAAAUCUUUAAUAUAUCAAGAGCAUUUUUUUUAUAUAUAUUUGAAAAUAUGAAGAUAUCACAUAAUUUAAUCAAACUUUAAAAUUUUAUAUCUUUAAUCAAUAAAAUUGUGUAAAAUAUAAUUAGUGAUCAUAUUGUCCGCUUGAUAGGUUGGUAUCUUAUUCUUUGCAGCAAUUUGGGCCGUUGAUAUUGAGAUUGUGGUGAAUCCAUUCCUAAAUACAUAAAUUGAUAUUUGAUAGGCAACUGAUUACAAUUCAAAUCAAAGUUUAAAAUUAGAGCUGGUAUAGCCGAUGGAAAUUAUUCUGAUAGGAAGAUUUUUAAUCAAUUAUUCUGGUAGGAAAAAUUAAAAUAAUAAAAUAAAUUUGAUUUGCAAUUAUUCUGAUCAAAUCCAUAAAAAAAAAAAAAAAUUCUUAUACGGAUCAAGAGAAGUGAAUUCAUAUAUUAUUGGUUUUGUCAAAUAUAAAAAUUUAAAAUAAAAUUUAUUUAUUUUUUUAAUUUUUUGAAAAUUUAACCUUCAAGCAAUUUCCAAUUAUUUAUAUGAUUUGUGAUGUAAGAAUGGCACACACCAUUAAUACUUAAAACAUAAAAUAUAUAAUUUUAUGUAUCCAUGAGGGAAAACGUAGCAGGAAGAUUAUAAUCCUCCUAUGGUGUUACAACACAAACAGAAAAAAAAAAAAAAAAAAGGUUAAUUAUUUAGAUCGCAAUUAAGAGCACCAUUUAUUUAGUUGGAUUCCCCUCAUUAGAAUCAUCGAACUCUUUACCUAACAACAUAUCCAAGGUUGUAAGCAUAUUUGACGAGAUCUUCCAUCUCUGACAUGUCCACAACUCCAUCUCCAUUAGCAUCAGCAAGUUUGAUCCCUUGACGGGCCUUUUGAGCAGGGAACAUGGCACCGAGAUAAUUGAAAGCUUGUCUAAUCUCUUCCCUGCUAAGAACAUUGUCUCCGUUCAGGUCGAACUUCAUGAAAAUUUGCCUCACUUGGUCUUCAGUCAGGGGAACAGGAGCACUUUUGUAGUUGUUGGUACGGAAGGGAUUGGAGGGAACAUAAUAUGAACGUGGUGGUGGAGGAGUUGGAUUGCUUGGAAACCAAACAUCUUGGGGAACAGCAGGAGAUGAUCCCCAGAAACCAACAGCUGCAGGCUUGUCAUCACACAUUGAGGGCUUCUCCUCAUUCGUUGGCUGAUGGUUUGGGUAAUGAUAAGGAGUGAUGUUGUAUUCUCGGGAGUAUUGCAUAGAGUAAGCCAUGAUUUUCAAGUGGUUGAGUUCGUAGUUUUAUUUAACUUGCGAUGGAUUUGAACCCAUGGAAGCAACGCUUAUUUAUAAGGAGUUCGUAGUUUUGUUUUUUUUUCCCCACUUGCAUGAAUAAUAUUCUAAGUUAUCUUUGCGAAAAGUGGAACUACUUUUUGGCAAAUUCUAUAUGCCUUUUCUUUUUUUUUUUUUUUUUUAUUAAAGCAAACUCACAUAGUAUAGAUUCUCCACGUGUCCUACAACAUAAAAAUUCUCCACCACCAAAAUGAAAAUGCAAAUAUUCCUAAAUUUAGGAGACAAUUUAUCUCUCAAUACAAAGUAAGCUAUAUAUUUUUCUUAAACGAGUGAUAUGUGAUAUUUUUUAAUAAGAGUAUUAUUUAUUAUUUUUAUUGAGAAUUAAUAAAAAAUUUUCACUUAAAUUUAAAAAAAUUUACUAUAUAUUUUUUGUGACAUUAAAAAAACUCAUUAACUUAUUAUAUUGAUUCUGAAUAAUAUAUUAUGAUUUUUUAGAGUUUAAAAAAUUUAUUAAUUAAUUAUUUUAUUAGUUUUAAUUAUUUAAAAAAAAUAUGAUCCGUAGGUCUCAUUUUUAUAAAAAUAUUUAUUAACUAUUUAAUAUUAAAAAUAUUUAAAUUUUUUUAUAAUAUAAAUUAAUUAAUAAAAUUUUUAAAAUUUUAUAGAUAUUUUAAUUAAUUUUUAAAAAUUAUUAAUAAAUUGAAAUUACAAAUAUAAAUUUAGCAUAUUUAUAUUUCAAAGUAUUAUUUUAUAAAUUUGGUUAUAAUCGAUAUUUAAAAAAUUCCAAUACAUAGAAUUAGAAAUUUUUAAGUUUUUAUAAUAAUAACCAAUGAAAAUAUAUACACUUAUAAAUUAAAAAAAAAAACAAUUUCUAAACAAUCUCAUGAAAAAAAUUCAAUAAUUUAAGAAAUAAAUUUUUUAAAUGAGAAAAAUAUUUAAAUAAUGAUUACAAAAAUCAUUAUUAAUUAAUUCUAAAAUUAUUUAUUAAAUUAGUAAAUUAAAUAUUAAAACGAUUCAACUUUCUAAUUUUACUAGACUAGAAAGUAUUAUCAUCUGAUCAAAUUAAUUUUUUUUAAAAAAAUUUUAAUAAAUAUUAAUUUAAUUUAUAAAUUUUUUUAAUUUUUUUUUUUAAAAUUUGAAUCCGAUCUAACUUAUCUAAAAAUUAGCUUAAAAUAAAAGUGUCUAAAACACUUCUAAAAGACACAUCACCUAUAUUCUAAAUCGAUGUGGAAUCCCCUCACGUCCAAAACUACACUGAAACAUGACAUAUUUAUGAGAGAUUUAAUUUCGGUGGAAAACUCUAAUACCAUGUUCAAUUUGGGUCAAACCUAAUUUAUCCCAAAAAUUAGUUUAAGGAGGGAGAAGUGUUUAAAACUCUUAUAAAGGCUAUAUUGAUUUUAUUCUAAAUUGAUAUGAAAUUUAAAAUUUUUUAUUAGCUAAAAAACUUAUAAAUUUUAUUAACAUGAAAAGAACCAUCAAAAGAGGCUCUCAGAAUCAGCAAGUGAACUCCAUACAUCCAUCUUAAACAAACUAGCAACGUCUAAUGAUGAAAAAUACCUUAAAAGAAACACAAAAGGAAACAAAAACAAAAGCAAGGCAACAAAGUCGUACAAUCUAAGACUUCCAGAUUUAGCAGGAUUAUCAGUAAAGCAAUUUGUUUCCCCUUUUGAGGAUGGAUGAAAGUCACCGUUGCAACAGAAUGGUCCAAGAAAUUGAGCUUAAUUUCAGAGAGGAAAAUAAGACAACCAUCUGAUUUGGAGAAACUUUGUUGAAAAGUUUUAAUUAAUUUUAUUUAAAAGAAUUACCAUCAGUUAACUAGAUUUUAUUAAAAUUUACUAGUUUUUCCUUUUUUUUUUUUUAAUUAAUCAAUUAAAAUAUUUCACAUUUUAUAAACUCAAAUAAUUUAAUCAUUCUGCCUAAAGAAUUGCUAAUCAAUUUAUUUUAAUAUUAAUUAAAUGGACUAAAUUGUAUAAAUAUUUAUCAAUUAUGGUGACUAAAUAACAUAGAACUGAACAAUAUAAAUAUUUGAUAACUCAAAGAUCCACGAGAAACUAAAUUAAGGAAAGUAAAUAUUAUAGAUGAAUUUAGUAAAUGAGGGUAAUAAUAAUUUUGAGUUGAAAAUAUUUCGAAAGUUUGCAGAAAAUCUAUGAACACUCCUAAUAAAAUUUAUUUGGUCGUAAUUUAGUAAAAGUACUAUGAGAACAUACACGUGUUUUAAUCUUAGGUGUUUUAUAUAUUAUUAAUAUCCAAGACAGCCGGUAAUUCUUUUUAAUAAAAAAAUUAAAAAAAUAAAUUUUACAAAUAUAAAAUAUUUUAAUAAAUAAUUUUUAAAUAUAAAUAAAUUAAUAAAUUUCUAAAAAUUUAAAAAUUUAUAAUAAUUUUUCAUUUUAUUUCAUUCAAUUUUGGAAUCUAACUUACCUACAUUACUGCACUAAUUAAAUUACUUUUUUUUUUUUUUGAAAUGGGGAUGGGGAUUCGAACAUGAGAUUUAUCAGGUUUAACCGAAUGCACUUAACAUCAGAUUAAGUCUGGGAGUGCACUAAUUAAAUUACUUCUAAAUAAAUAUUUUUCCUUUUAUAUAUUUUCAAUUUUCAAUAUAUAACUCACUACAGGCAUCUAUGAGCCUUUUUUUCCUGUUUCAUGGAGGGAGCUUUUAUUCUCAUCUUAAAUAUGGAUUUUUUUUUUUUGAAAAGUUAAAUAUAAUAAUGAAAAUUAGAUAAAAUCAUGGCAAUAUUCAUGUAUGAAGUUGCAUACGAAAAUCAAAUACGUAUAUGAGUAUUCUUCUGACCACUUAGAAAAUUUGAGUUUAAAUUCCUCAUCAUAGUUAAUUAUAAAAAAUUUGGAAGUUCAUUUCAUUCUUUUGUUCGUUUUGAGAAUUUCAUAAACCAAAAAAUUGAAAUUAUUUUAAUUAAAUUAAUAAAAAAUAAUUUACAAACAAUCCAAUAAAUUUAGGAUUUUUAACAGCAUACCUCAUAUUAGGUUUAAAAUGCUUAAUCAUGAUAAAUAAAUUCCUUAUAAAAUACUAACGAGUAUUUUAUAAGGAAUCUGUAAAUGCUUAUGAGAUGGAAUCUGUAAAUCCUUGAGUUUUACUAGCUCGGAGGCUCUUUUAUUUCUGAGUAUUUUCAACCAAAUCUUGUCUGUAUAAGAUUGAAGAAGCGGCAAAUCUUCAACAUCUGCUAAACAGAUUCCUGAUACUGAAGCUCAAGUCCUGGAAUGCUAAUGUCUUUGGUUUGGCUAGCCCAAAACUCUUUGAGAUUAAUUUUCUGUAGAUCUAUUCGAAAGUUUUACGAAAGUUCGUGAUCUUACAACCUCUAAACAAGCUAUUUUACAACGUUGUAAAGCUGAUAAAGAAAUAUGGCAAAUGAUAAUGUGUGUCCUUGGAGGCAUCCUAAGAGAUCAUUUGGAACAUUUUCUCUGCAUUUUCUCUUGCCCAAUAGGUAUUGAUGCCUAUAAUGCUACAGAAUUCAAAGAAAUAGCAAAGGCCUUGGAACUGCUAUGCUCAACCUCUUUUCACCCCCAUAUCGGUUCUCAUUUCUUAGUAGAAUCCUAUUCUAUAGCUGCAAUUUCUUUGGCACAAAAUCUAGAUAGCUCACCAUGGCAUCUUUCUGGCAAACUCCAAUGCUUCUUCAUUAUCUUUGUUGCCUAAGGUUAAGUUUUGUCAUACUUUGCGGAAUGGAAAAUCCAUAGCUGGCUCUCUUGAUAAGCAAGGUGUAAAUAGAUAUGAAGACUUCGUGGCUUUCCACUAGUUCUUGGUAACUUAUCGCUACUGUAUUCUAUGCCUUAUAGUUGCCUUUUUAAUGGGUUGGUGCUGGCUAUAGCUUCUUUUUUUUUUGGGUUUGGAUUUGUUUGUUUUUCUUUUGCUCCUGUUGUCAUGAUACACAUACACCAAAUGCAAAAAAAUUUGAGUUAUUGAUAUGGUUUAGGAUAUUGUAAGAAUCACAGACAGAGUUAAAACUUAAAAUACCACAAACAUUGUAUAGGUAUAUAAACCCAUGAGGGGAAAACAUAGCAGGAAGCUUAUAAGCAUACAUGUUAAUUAUUGAGGUGGCAAGAGCACCAUUUAUUUAGUUGGAUUCCCCUCAUUAGAAACAUCCAACUCUUUACCUAACAACAUACCCAAGAUUAUAAGCAUACUUGACGAGAUCUUCCAUCUCGGACAUGUCCACAACACCAUCUCCAUUAGCAUCAGCAAAUUUGAUCCCUUGACGGGCCUUUUGAGCAGGGAACAUAGCACCAAGAUAAUUGAAAGCUUGUCUGAUCUCUUCCCUGCUAAGAACAUUGUCUCCAUUCAGGUCGAACUUCAUGAAAAUUUGCCUCACUUGGUCUUCAGUCAGGGGAACAGGAGCACUUUUGUAAUUGUUGGUACGGAGGGGAUUGGAGGGAAUAUGAUAUGAACGUGGUGGUGGAGGAGUUGGAUUGCUUGGAAACCAAACAUCUUGGGGAACAGCAGGAGAUGAUCCAAAGAAACCACCAGCUGCAGGCUUGUCAUUACACAUUGAGGGCUUCUCCUCAUUCGUUGGCUGAUGGUUUGGGUAAUGAAAAGGAGUGAUGUUGUAUUCUUGGGAGUAUUGGAUAGAGUAAGACAUGAUUUUCAAGUAGUGAGGGGAUUAAAGCAGGUAUUGAGUUUGUAGUUCUAUUGAACUUGCUAUUGAUUUGAAUCCAUGGAAGCAAGCUUAUUUAUAAGCUACUCCAGGUUUUUUUUUUCUUUUUUUUUUUUUUUCUUUUUUCCCACUUGCAUGAAUCAUAUUCUAAGUUAUCUUUCUGAAAAGUGGAUUCUAUAUAUCACAGAUAAGGAACUACUUUAUCUGACAAAUUCUAUAUGCCUUUUUCUUCUCCAUAAAGUAUUUUGAAAUGCAUGCAUGCCGUUUCUUUUUUUUUUUUUUUUCUUUUCCUGAUUAGAUUAUGGCAUUAAAUUGAUAAUCGCGGUGAUGAUUUAAUGUUAUUUUGUAAUUUAAAGAUUCAUAUGUAAAAUAAUUUAUCUUAUUCUUUGCAGCAAUUUGGGCAGUUUAUAUUGAGAUUGUGGCGAAUCCAUCCCUUUCAUGUACAAGAGGGUUCAAAGCUGUGAGUUUAUGUAGUUCUCAAUAUUCUUUUCCUGCUUACAAAUAAAAAUAAAAAUUAUUAUCUAAUCUGUAUGAUAUUGAAAAAAUAAUUUAUAAGCCUCUUAACUUUUAAAAAUAUAUUAAAAUUUUUAUAUAAUUUUUAAAAUAUCUAUUGAAUUUUUUUAGAAAGGCGUAAAAUUAAUAUGUAAAGUACCUAAACCUUUUUAUGUUAAAAAGUAAUUUUAGAAGAGUAAUUUAAAAAAAAAAAUUGUUCUCUAAUCUUUUGUGCUAAAAGUAAUCAUUUUCAAGUUAGCAGCAUGAGCCUUUUAAUAGAUUAUCAAAAUUAUUGGAAGGUUUUAAUUUACUUUUAAAAAUUAAUAGCUCAAUUAGUUAAUUUUUUUUAUAUUUAAAAAUUAAAUAAUAAUUUUAUAAUAGAAAUUUAAUAUUAUUUUCUGAAUAUAUUUUAUUAAGCAAGCAAGAAAUCUGAAGAGAAAAAAAUAAGAAACAAGAUAAUUAGAAAAUAAAAUCCUCUAAGACUUGAUACAUAUUGGGGCCUACAAUGUAGGAAUUUUUUUUUCUAAUUAAAGCAAACUUACAUAUUUAUAUUCUCCAUGUGUCCUAGAACGAAAAAAAUUCUCCACUCACACACCACCAAAAUGAAAACGCAAAUUCCUUAAAUUAAUCUGUUUUUUAAAUUUUUGUUAAGGUCCAAAAGACUGAAGAGGUAUAUGAUGCAAAGUCAAAAGACUAAGAGAAAUACAAAUGAAAACACUCGAUAAAGCUCGAUUAAAACAACUCAAAAAAAUAAAAUCAAACAAACAAACCAAAUUAAAAAAAAAAAAACAAUUAAAUACAGAACCAAAUAAUCAGCCACUGAUCCACCGCACAGCCUACUCGGCUUGGAAUUCAGCAAUAAGAGACAUCAUCGGCCAUAUUAGCGGCAAUACAAACAACCUGAAAAAACUAAAAAGACUCAACACACCAACAAAAAAGCAACAUGCAAACAAUAUCAAGACAGAAAAAGUCCAUGACAAAGUAUUUUUAAAACUUCUUUAAGAUAGAAAACACUAGCAUAUCCGAGGAGGAGAUGACGAUAGAGUUGACGAUUCUAUCUUCACCGGCGAGCGUGGUGGUCACCGGACGUAACUAUACAGUCUCAACAUACCGAAGUCACAUCGGUAAGAAGUCUCUUGAGAAAAGAGAAAUAAACCAAUUAAAAGUAGGUCUAAAGAAGCCUUUACAUGGAUACCACGAGACUUGUAAAUGAGAAAGCAAAAAACUAAAUAAAAAUCGCCAAUGUGUUCGACGAAAAUGAGGUCGUCAAACAGAAGCCAAAACUGAUGGUUUUUCUGCCUCGAAGAGUAAAGAAACCACAAUCAAAGCUACCAACAACGACCCAAUUUUAGAAACAGACAAUACCUUAUAACUAAAAGGAAGAACACUAUUGUGCACACCAAUCGAUUUCUGUCCCCCAUAUUUUUGCCCUUUUCUUCUUUUCUCAAUCUUCUCGUCUUAUUAGAGUGCACAUUUCAGUCGGUUCGGUUUAAAAUUGAAACUAAAAAUUGAAAUUUUAGUUUUUAUAAAAAUCAAAUCGAAUCGAUUUUGAUAAAAAAUUGAAUCAAAUUAAAUUGGUCUAAUUCAAUUUGAUUCGAUUCCGUUUGAUCGGUUUCAAUUUUUAAUAAUUUUUUUUUUAUUUUUUACCAUUUAUUUUUAUUAUUUUAAAAUUUAUUUAAAAUAUUUUAAUUUUAAUAAUUUUAAUAUGAUCUAAUCUCUCCAUAUUAUUGAAAAUAAUAUAUUAUUAUCACUAAUCGGUUCAGUUUGAUUUUUUUAAUUUUUUUCUGAUCAAAAUCCAACCGAACCGAAAUAAUCAAAAUUAAUAAAAAAUCAAACUGAAUUUUCAAAUUAAUUUAAUUCGAUUGAUUUUUUUAAUUUAAAUAGAAUACUCAUCACCCUUAACUCUUCAUCUAUUUAUGUAAUAGUAGAAAUACAGUUGGUUACUAUAUAUUUCAUCAAGUCUCCCUCAACCUUUUGGGAUAUAUCUCCUUAAAUUUAAGAUAUAUAUAUAUAUAUAUAUAAGCAAAUUAUUUUUCUUAAACGGUUAAAAUAAUAUCAUCUUCUAAUGCAAGUAUAAUUUGCCACUUUUAUUGAAAAUUAACAUGUAUAUUUUUUUAAUUAAAUUUUAAAAAAUUUAAUAUUUAGCCUAUAUAAUAUGCAAACUCAUUAGUAAGUCUUAAUUUUAAAAAAUACAUUAAAAUAUUUCUAAACUUUUAAAAUAUUUAUUAAUUUUUUAUUACUUUUAACCAUUAACUAUUUUAUUUUAUUUAAUUCUUAUAAUAUAAAAAAAAUUUAUUAAUUGAUAUUUUAGUUUUAUAAAGAUAUUUACUAAUUAACUUCUCUGGAUUAUUUUCACAAUAUUUAACAUUUAAAAUUAAUAAAAAAAUUAAUUGGUAAAUUUUUUAAAUGUUUAUAAAUAUUUUAUUUUUAAAAAUUAAAAAACUGACUAAUAAUUUUUCUUAUAUUAUAUAUAUGAACCAAAUAGUAUAUUUUAAAAAAAUUAAUUUUAAUUAUUAUUAUUAUUAUAACUAACUUUGUUAGCUUUAGUUAUUUAUGGUUAUUUUUAUUUAAUCAAUAUAAAUCAAAUUAAUUAUUAAUAUUAAUGAUUUUACAUAAAAAUUUUCUAAGUAAGUCCUCAACUAUCACCGUAAAAUAGGGCCAUGCAGCAAGGGUUGAGAAACUGAUAAGCAGUUUCACUCAUAGAAAGAAAGACUUGAACGACCAGCUCGAGCAACCAUCAUGCUCAGAAUUAAAAGAAAAGACCCGGCCUUAGGACAAGUCGGCUUCAGGUCAGAUAGACCCGUCCUCUUAAGCGAUAAGACGAGUCUCCGUAAGAAAGUUACUAUCUACUAGCUACAAUCUUGCAAAUCUCCUGCGAUCACGAGAUUUCCAACUAAUUAGCCAAUAAAAAUACCAUAUUUUCUUGAGAUUAUAGGAAGAAAACUGUUUUUAUUUUCUUACCUCUUGUGUAGUAAGUUACAGUGUUUAUAUAGUACGUAAUAUGAACAAUUAGACCUUUGAUUGUGCUCUCAAUUAUGUCCUAGAAUCAUGCUAUGCUAAACAUGGUAAGAUUUGAUCACUGAUUGAUUUACAAUCAUGACAGAGGAUUCUUUCCAACACUCCCCCUCAAGUUGGUUCAUGUGGAUCUAGCAUACCCAACUUGCCCAAAACCUCAUGGAAUAUUCGUCCAGCUACUGCUUUGGUUAGGAUGUCCGCCCAUUGAUCCUCUGAUUGAACAAACGGUAAAGAUAUUAGACCACUGUCCAACUUUUCUUUGAUGAAAUGUCGGUCUAUUUCAACAUGUUUUGUUCGAUCAUGAUGAACUGGAUUUUCAGAAAUGCUUAUUGUUGCCUUGUUGUCACAACGGAGUUCAGCUGCAUCCUUUGAUCCAAGCUCAAACAUCAACUUUCUAAUCCAUAGGAGUUAUGCCAGUCCUUUUGCUAUUCCCCUGAAUUCUGCAUCAGCACUUGACAGUGCCACCACCUUUUGUUUCUUACUUUUCCACGUUACCAAAUUUCCUCCUACAAAGGUGAAGUAUCCUAAAGUAGAUCGUCUGUCGGAGAGAUCUCCUGCCCAACUUGCGUCCGUAUAUCCACUGAUACUGAAAUGACCAUUCUUUUUGAACAACAUGUCCAUCCCAGCUGUUCCUUUCAGAUAUCGAACGAUUCUCAAUGUUGCCUCCAUAUGGUCUUGUUUUGGAUUAUGCAUGAACUGACUUACCAAACUCACAGCAUAUGCCACGUCUGGUCUGGUGUGUGAUAAAUAAAUCAGUUUUCCUACCAGUCUCUGGUACCUCCCCCUGUCUGUGGGUCCUUCUUUUGAGUCCUUGCUCAACUCGUGAUUGACCAUUACUGGAGUAUCGACUGGUUUGCAAUCUAUCAUUCAUGUUUUAGUUAACAGAUCAAGAAUGUACUUUCUCUGUGAUAUCAAAAUUCCCUGGUCUGACCUGAGAACUUCGAUUCCAAGAAAAUAUUUUAACAUCCCUAGGUCUUUCAUCUCAAAUUCUUGGAAUAAGUUGUCCCUCAGUUGUUUGAUUUCAUCCACAUCGUCUCCAGUUAUAAUCAUGUCAUCCACGUAUAUAAUCAAACACGUGAUCUUCCUUCCUUGCCUCUUCAAGAAUAGAGUGUGAUCGGAGUUACUCUGUCGAUAUCCAUUGUAACACCCCGGAAACCGGUACCUCUCUGUAUCGGCCUAAAGUGCUCGGCACUAGGAUCCAGAUCGGCUUAAGGCUGCCUAGACCCGUAAUAAGCCUGCUAUGAACUCUGUGUACCUGGUAAAAUCCCAUACAUGAUCCAACUCGACUACUAAGUUUUACUUUCUUUCUCUGUAAAAACUACCAGACUUAACCUUUAAAACAUCAGACAUCUCAAUCUGAAAUAGCCCUCAGGGCUAAACCAGUGAUACUCUACCAAGUAACCUCCAUGCACUAUGCUCUGAAACAUAGAACCCACUCUGUAGGGUCAGCAUAUCAUAAGUUAACCUUGGCUACCAUAGAGUCACAGGAUUCAAACCUGGUCUUCUCUAAUGGCCUCUCUAUGGGUCACAGGAAUCAAACCUGAUCUUCCCUCUGCACUGGUCUUGGGUCAAGGGAAUUAAACCCUGUCUUCCCUCACAGUUAUAAUUCACUGGGUUUUCGAAACACAACAUCUAUUAAGUCUGGUUUGACUCAUUUCUCAUCAAGAAACAUAAAACAGGAUACAUGCAUACACUAGGGAUCAACAUACUAUAAAGAUCAACAUACACUAAAAGCAAAGCACAUUCUAACUUAUACAUACACGAUCUUACUAACUAUUACAUGCCUUUACAUCUAUCUCUUUAAUUUACAUCAUGUCCACUACUCUAUUACACAUGCAAUACUGGAGCCAACACUCUGAUGCUUCUGACUCCCCAGCUAACUCUGUACCUGCAAAACUGGGAUUAAGGGAAAGGGAUGAGCUAUAAAGCCCAGUGAGUAGAAACACUGAAAACAGUUCAUUCAUACACACUUUAUAUGAAAUGUGUCACAACUCAAACAUUCCACAUCUUGGAUUAGACAUGACCUCAAAACUCCCUCUGUCGGCACCCGAUUCCCGUAGGAACUCACACAGGAUUUUCACUGCCAUGACAGAUCGUGGGCUAUUGAUGUCGCCUUGGUCCAAUCCCCACUAUCAAUCAAUAAUGCAAUGCACCAUAUUCGUGAUUCUCAUGCAAUCACCCUAAUACAUAACAUGGUAUCCAUGAUGCAUGAACUAUGCUAACGCAUUCCAUUUUCUCAGUAUAAAAGAUUAAGUUUAGUUCUACUCACCUCUGCUCCUCUAGCAGCUACUGUACUGACUCUGAAAUCUCUAACUCUGAUGACCUCCUCGAACUCUAGGGUCCAAACCUACACAAAUGGACUCGCAUGAGGUGUCAAACAGACUCUGAAUAACUCUUAAACAAUUCCCCAUAAUCCCCUCUAAACCUCUGAAAAUAAUUACAUAAAUCAUGCAAAAAAAGGCUGAACAGAACACAUUCGGCGGCAGGUUCGGCGGCCGAAUGUCCUCUCCAGAGCCGAAACUCAUGCAUGUUCGGCGGCACCUUCGACGACCGAAUGUGCAUGACAGAUCCGAAAGUCCAUUCUUUCGGAGGCAACCUUAGGCAGCCGAAACGACCUCCUCAAGGGGUUCGGCGGCCGAAUCCUCCCUUCGGCGGCCGAACCUGAGUUCAUCCAGAACUUAGUUUCGUGCAUGAACAAGCCUGCCAAGCACCAACUCCACUCCACAAGAGGUUCGGCGGUCGAAGCUGGGUUCUCCAGAAGGCAGAACCUUGCUUCCUCUCAUGCACAACCUCUCCAAACUCACUCUAACAUGCAUAACUCAACUCCUCAACUCACAUAUAUUAUGGUAUAUGCACAAAGGGGUCCAAACUACCUAUUAACCCCAACAAAACAACUAACACAACACAUAAUCAUGCUUUCACCAUGAAAACAUCAAAACUAAACUCUAAAACCUAAACAUGCAACUCUACCCUUAACCUCUUUAAAAGCCGUUAAACCAAGAAAACAAGUAUAAAGACCUCUCUUACCUCCGGAAACUAGAAGAGGAACAACUUGCACUCAGCAAAUCCCCUUCACAAAGCUUCAAACCACCAAAACCUCUCUUUUCUCUCAAAACCUUCAAGACUCGUUGAAACACACUCAACCCUCUGCACGAGCUGAUAAAAGCUUGCAGAUGAGUCAAGGGAGACGUGGCCUAACCUCUGGUCAUGAUCUGGAGGUGAACACCUGGCCAAACCACGGACUGAGGAGCGUGCACAACUUACCGACCACCUCAGCUUCGGCUGCCGAAACUGCAUGCAAAACCAUGCAACUUUCGGGGGCCGAACAUAACCUUCGGGGGCCGAACAUUGGGCACUUUCGGCGGCCGAACUUAACCUUCGGGGGCCGAACACGACAGAAACUCCUUUGGCCAAUUCUCCACAAAACUCAACUCUCCACAAAACUCAACUCUUUUCUUAAUCAAAAGCUUAAAACAUGUUAAAACAUUUUAGAACAAACUUACUUUGACCCUUCUAGAAUCUCUGACAGCUCUGAAUUCCACCGGACGGUAAGAAUUCUGAUGCCUGAACUAGCCGGGUAUUACAAUCUUUCCCCCUUAAAAACAUUCGUCCUCGAAUGUUAAAAAACACACAAGAACAAACAAAACCGCAAACUAUUCCUGAACUUCACAGCUUUCGCUGCGCUACUCUGAUCCUUAUCCUUCUCUUUCUUUUUAUCUUUUCUCAACUGUCCUCUUUUCCCUCUUAACUCAAAUAAUCUCUCUGUGAAACUCUCUCUCUUUAAUUCUCAACAGAUCAUAUACCCAUAUCUGUACUCUGAUCAUACCAAACUGUAAAUCCACUCAUCUUUGAUUAGAACAGUUAGUAGAUCAACAAUUCUAACUAGGAACACCUGUCCUUAGUAGGGACUUUGUUAACUGUGUACAGUCAUAACAAAAUCUCAAGAGUCUAUCCUUCGUUUCCCGCAACAAUACUGAAAACAUUCCAGGGUGAGGUACUAAGUCAGAUAAAAUCUUUAUCUACUAAGCUUCUAUACUAUUCUUACAAUUCUUAACUCUCUUUCUCUCUCUGCAGGUGCCAUCCUGUAGGGAAAGGAAAGAAAUGGUUCCGCGUCCAGACACCACUCUCGUUCCAAACUCUAGUUCCCUAACAGAUGGAAAACCUGACAGCUCGUCUAGGAAACAUCUAGUACUCACUGGCAAUAGGCACUGAGGCUAAUUCCCUGUCCUGACUUUUAAACAUGCUCACACGAGCUAGAAUCUUCUGAUAACCUUUCCUUUGUAGCUAUGAGCCUGAUGGGCUGAUAUCAAACCUCUGAGCAUCUAUACUCUGGACUCUGUCCUGUCUAAGGACUACCACUGAUCCAUCCUGUACUCUGACCUUUCUUACUUUCACUCUGUUGGCACAAGAAGUACCAUGAGUAGUUAGCCAAUCCGCCCUAGAAUGACAUCACACAGUCAAAUCUAGAACCAUAAGGUCAGCUGGAUCGCAUCUACUCACCUCUACGCUGAACUGAACGGACUGACUCUGCCUCUGAUGGAUCAUACUCAGGUCUACCGACCCAAAGAAAACACUCUAAGCCCAGAAGUCAUCAAACCCCCUCUAUCAAUGGCUCACUAAGCAACAAGGAAAAUGAAACACUGGGUUUCAAAACAACCAGCAUACACAUCCAAGCACUUCUAAGUGAACGUAUCUCACGUCACCGUGCAUAAUGUGUUAGCCGCCUACUAAAUCAGGAUGAAGAUCCAAGCUAAAGCUAAUGGAACUUCCCUCGGGAAUCUACUAAAGAAAAGACUGACUCUUUUCUCUGCCUCAACUACCAACUAAUCCCAGACUGACUUUAUCCUCUUUCUACGCUCACUCUUACUCCUCUUUCUUUUGAGAAAUCAAUUCUCACGAUUCUUGGGUUUAUAACAACCUGAGAUAUUAAAAUCUCACAGCAACUUUUUCUAGCUUUUCUUUGAUUCACUAAUCCUUUAACUAUUAACUCUUCUCUGAAUCUUUGCCAUAAAACUGACAUCCUACUAGGAUCCUCACAAACAUACCUCAGAUUACUCAAAACAAAAUGAGCAUACCUGGCGCAGAGGUAUCAGAUGUGUCUGCCUCUCUUCCUUGCCUAUUGGCUUGAGCCACUCUAUCUGCUAAAGUCUGCUGGGACUGAACUAUCCAGGGCGCAAUAGGACACUCACGCAUCAUAUGCCCCUCCUGACCACAUCUAUAACAUCCUGUUGUCCCUGCAAGACAAACUCCCUUAUGCAUUCUUCCACAUCUCUCACAUUUUGGUUUACCUCUACCAGAACUUGGACCAGCUCCACUAGUCCCUAACUCCUUAUUCUCAGACCCUUUAAAACCUCUCACCUUUUUCUUUCUAGUUCUCCCCCACUUCACUCCUGUCCAAGUGGCUGUACUCCAAGUGGAAAGUUCAUUCGCUCCUACACCUGACAUUUUAGUCUCCCUGAUCUGAUCAUCUUCUUCUACCAUAUUUACCUGUACACCAAUAUCCCUUCUUUGUACACCUACCUCUAUCUCUCUCCCGUCUCCUAACAUUCCUUUUCGGUCCAUUUCUUCUCUAUUUUCCUCACAAGACCCUUCAGACGGAUCUGAUUCCACAGAACUACUCAUCUUAGUUCUCCUUAAGAACAACACACAAAGAAACAAACAUUAGCACACAUGUUCAUAUGAAACCACAUGAACGUACAAUAUAUACAUGCAUACAUAGCAUAACAUUAAUACCCAUGAAUAUACAUGUGUAUUUCACAUCAGCAUGCAAAACAACUUCCUAUCUUAGUGGACAUGAUUCUACUUAUUGUGCUUUGCCUUUCUAUGACUCUAAACCAACCUCUUUCCGAUGUGGGAUCUCUCUAAUCCUUGAACAAACAUGCUCAACACACCGUACUUAGGAGGUCCUAUGCUCUGAUACCAACUGUAACACCCCGGAAACCGGUACCUCUCUGUAUCGGCCCAAAGUGCUCGGCACUAGGAUCCAGAUCGGCUUAAGGCCGCCUAGACCCGUAGUAAGCCUGCUAUGAACUCUGUGUACCUGGUAAAAUCCCAUACAUGAUCCAACUCGACUACUAAGUUUUACUUUCUUUCUCUGUAAAAACUACCAGACUUAACCUUUAAAACAUCAGACAUCUCAAUCUGAAAUAGCCCUCAGGGCUAAACCAGUGAUACUCUACCAAGUAACCUCCAUGCACUAUGCUCUGAAACAUAGAACCCACUCUGUAGGGUCAGCAUAUCAUAAGUUAACCUUGGCUACCAUAGAGUCACAGGAUUCAAACCUGGUCUUCUCUAAUGGCCUCUCUAUGGGUCACAGGAAUCAAACCUGAUCUUCCCUCUGCACUGGUCUUGGGUCAAGGAAAUUAAACCCUGUCUUCCCUCACAGUUAUAAUUCACUGGGUUUUCGAAACACAACAUCUAUUAAGUCUGGUUUGACUCAUUUCUCAUCAAGAAACAUAAAACAGGAUACAUGCAUACACUAGGGAUCAACAUACUAUAAGGAUCAACAUACACUAAAAGCAAAGCACAUUCUAACUCAUACAUACACGAUCUUACUAACUAUUACAUGCCUUUACAUCUAUCUCUUUAAUUUACAUCAUGUCCACUACUCUAUUACACAUGCAAUACUGGAACCAACACUCUGAUGCUUCUGACUCCCCAGCUAACUCUGUACCUGCAAAACUAGGAUUAAGGGAAAGGGAUGAGCUAUAAAGCCCAGUGAGUAGAAACACUGAAAAUAGUUCAUUCAUACACACUUUAUAUGAAAUGUGUCACAACUCAAACAUUCCACAUCUUGGAUUAGACAUGACCUCAAAACUCCCUCUGUCGGCACCCGAUUCCCGUAGGAACUCACACAGGAUUUUCACUGCCAUGACAGAUCGUGGGCUGUUGAUGUCGCCUUGGUCCAAUCCCCACUAUCAAUCAAUAAUGCAAUGCACCAUAUUCGUGAUUCUCAUGCAAUCACCCUAAUACAUAACAUGGUAUCCAUGAUGCAUGAACUAUGCUAACACAUUCCAUUUUCUCAGUAUAAAAGAUUAAGUUUAGUUCUACUCACCUCUGCUCCUCUAGCAGCUACUGUACUGACUCUGAAAUCUCUAACUCUGAUGACCUCCUCGAACUCUCGGGUCCAAACCUACACAAAUGGACUCGCAUGAGGUGUCAAACAGACUCUGAAUAACUCUUAAACAAUUCCCCAUAAUCCCCUCUAAACCUCUGAAAAUAAUUACAUAAAUCAUGCAAAAGAAGGCUGAACAGAACACAUUCGGCGGCAGGUUCGGCGGCCGAAUGUCCUCUCCAGAGCCGAAACUCAUGCAUGUUCGGCGGCACCUUCGGCGGCCGAAUGUGCAUGACAGAUCCGAAAGUCCAUUCUUUCGGAGGCAACCUUAGGCAGCCGAAAGGACCUCCUCAAGGGGUUCGGCGGUCGAAUCCUCCCUUAGGGGGCCAAACCUGAGUUCAUCCAGAACUCAGCUUCGUGCAUGAACAAGCCUGCCAAGCACCAACUCCACUCCACAAGAGGUUCGGCGGCCGAAUCUUUACUUCGGCGGCCGAAGCUGGGUUCUCCAGAAGGCAGAACCUUGCUUCCUCUCAUGCACAACCUCUCCAAACUCACUCUAACAUGCAUAACUCAACUCCUCAACUCACAUAUAUUCUGGUAUAUGCACAAAGGGGUCCAAACUACCUAUUAACCCCAACAAAACAACUAACACAACACAUAAUCAUGCUUUCACCAUGAAAACAUCAAAACUAAACUCUAAAUCCUAAACAUGCAACUCUACCCUUAACCUCUUUAAAAGCUGUUAAACCAAGAAAACAAGUAUAAAGACCUCUCUUACCUCCGGAAACUAGAAGAGGAACAACUUGCACUCAGCAAAUCCCCUUCACAAAGCUUCAAACCACCAAAACCUCUCUUUUCUCUCAAAACCUUCAAAACUCGUUGAAACACACUCAACCCUCUGCACGAGCUGAUAAAAGCUUGCAGAUGAGUCAAGGGAGACGUGGCCUAACCUCUGGUCAUGAUCUGGAGGUGAACACCUGGCCAAACCACGGACUGAGGAGCGUGCACAACUUACCGACCACCUCAGCUUCUGCUGCCGAAACUGCAUGCAAAACUAUGCAACUUUCGGGGGCCGAACAUAACCUUCGGGGGCCGAACAUAACCUUCGGGGGCCGAACAUUGGGCACUUUCGGCGGCCGAACUUAACCUUCAGGGGCCGAACACGACAGAAACUCCUUUGGCCAAUUCUCCACAAAACUCAACUCUCCACAAAACUCAACUCUUUUCUUAAUCAAAAGCUUAAAACAUGUUAAAACAUUUUAGAACAAACUUACUUUGACCCUUCUAGAAUCUCUGACAGCUCUGAAUUCCACCGGACGGUAAGAAUUCUGAUGCCUGAACUAGCCGGGUAUUACAUCCAUUUUUCUUCAUUGCUUGAGUAAAUCUCCCAAACCAUGCUCUGGGUGACUGUUUCAACCCAUACAAGGCUUGCCUCAAUCGACACACUUCUCCCCUUCUAUAUCCACUCAUGAACCCUAGUGGAGCAUCCAUGUAUACUUCCUCUUCCAGAUCACCAUGCAAGAAAGCAUUUUUUACAUCAAAUUGGUGAAGUGGCCAGUCUAGGUUUGCAACUAGAGAGAAUAGGACUCGUAUUGUAUCAAUUUUUGCUACUGGAGAGAAUGUUUCAGGAUAGUCAACUCCAUAAGUCUGAGUAUAUACUUUUGCUACAAGUCUAGCUUUAUAUCUGUCCACCAUUCCGUCUGACUUGUACUUUAUGGUAAACACCCAUUUGCAUCCCACUGGUCGUUUUCUCUUAGGUAGCCAGCAUUUUUUCCAGGUCUUGUUUUUCUCCAGGGCAUCCAUCUCGGUCUCCAUCGCCUCAACCCAUCUUUUGUCCUUCUGGGCCUCUGUGGCAUCCUUUGGUAUCCAUUCUGAGCAAAUAUUUUUUUGUAGGUUGACCAACUGAGGUGAUAGUUUUUCUCCUCUGGUAACGUUUGCCACAUGGUAUCUAGACUUGGCUGCCUCGAAUUCUGGAUCAUAUCUCCUGGGUGGAAUUCCUCUAUUAUUCCGAGGGGGUAGAAUAUAUUGGCCUGUUUCAGGAACCUCAAGGGAAAUGGGUUCACUGGUGAGGUUAUUAGGAACAGGGAAAAGUUCAGAUUCACAUACCUCAGUUGUGUGUUCCUCAGGAUAUUCUACGGUGUCAGGUUCUGGUUGUGACAUUGAGGCCGAGGACUGUACUAAAUGGUCAGUGUCUCCCGGUUCUGGUGUAGACUCAAGAAGGGAAGAAUGAUCAAGUUUUGGCCCCCCCCCCCUGACUAAGCCAAUUUGGCAGUGGUGGUGAUUGUGCCGCUGUCUCCCCCUCACUGCUAGUUGGCGAGGGAAAAAAAUAUUCCUCUUCCAGAAAGGUGCAGUCCAUGGUGGUGAAGAUCCGUUUAGAGAUUGGGUCAAAACACCGAUAACCCUUUUUAUGUACACCAUAUCCAAAGAAAACACAUUUAAGAGCACAUGGAUCAAGUUUAGUGCGGUGUGUUUUAGGAAUGUGAACAUAAACUGUGCAGCCAAAAAUUUUAGGUGGAAGGUUGAGAUGGGAAGGGAUGGUAUGAUGAGAGGACAAGGUAUGCAAGGGAGAUUGGAAAUUAAGAACGCGAGACGGAAGUCGAUUGAUGAGGUAAAUGGACGUGGCAACUGCUUCAGACCAAAACUUAGGAGGAACUUGGGCUUCAAACAAUAGGGCUCGGGCAAUCUCAAGAAUAUGUCGAUUUUUCCUUUCAGCGACCCCAUUUUGCAAGAUUAUAGGAAGAAAACUGUUUUUAUUUUCUUACCUCUUGUGUAGUAAGUUACAGUGUUUAUAUAGUACAUAAUAUGAACAAUUAGACCUUUGAUUGUGCCCUCAAUUAUGUCCUAGAAUUGCUAUGCUAAACAUGGUAAGAUUUGAUCACUGAUUGAUUUACAAUCAUGACAGGGGAUUCUUUCCAACAUAUUUAUCUCCAUUUUCUUAUAGCAUAAAAGGAGAACGAUAUCAGAGAUCGAAGUAUGCUAUCUUCUCACACAAAUACUCUGAACUUUAAGUAAUUUUUUACUCCCGCCUUGUUUUUCAGUUUACUGACUUGAGUAUCAGAGUGGCUGUCGUAGGUGUCAACCACCUCACACACACUUUCUCGCAGGAUUAGCCAAUCGUGCACAACAACUCAGUUCCGCUUUGGCCACAUCACCAUUUUUCAGUUCCAGCAACAUCAUUAGUUUCGCUGUCGGGAGAUCCAUUGAAUUUUCUCUGUUUAUUUGGAUUAAAACCGAUUUUCUAUCCCUUUUAUCUUAAAAGAAACCUUUUCUUUUAUUUUCUUUUGAAUGGUUGGCAUUUCACGAGUUGAUAAUAAGGUUCCUGCCAAUGAAGAUACCAUUAUAUCUUCCAUUCCUAGCAAUGAAUAAAUCACAUCUUCUAGGGUUCAUGAGCCAAAUUUUAACAAUAUGAGCACUGAGCAAAUGCUUCAGUAUGUCAGAAGAUUACGGAUUAUUUUUUAGUGGUGGAAAGCUCGGGAAGAGACGUCACUCAUGGCUCCUAAAACAAGAGAGGAAGUCUCCAUUGAUACCUUAAAGUCUCGGCCAGGAGCAAUCCAGACAUGGUCCAAAGGGAAGAACAAGAUCGAGGAAGAUGAGGUAUCAGACGAUGCUCCGAAAGACAUCGACCGGAGGCUAAUACAAGCUACUCCAAUGUACCAGGGAGGAUAGAAAGAAAAUAAAAAGAUGAGCCAAAAGCAAGACCAAAAGUAAAAAAAAAAAUAAAGAUAUGAGAGAGAUCACAAAAGUGACCAAGUCUCCCAAAAGAGGGAGAAUCAAAGUAAGUGUAAGAAUUAUAGUCCAUUGAAUGAUUUAUGAAUACAUAUUCUAAUGUGGAUUAGGAAGAGUGACAGGUAGGUCGGGUGGCCUCUCAAGCUCAAUCCAAAGGAAGCUGAAAAGCGAGAUAGGACUAGAUAUUACUGUUUUCAUAAAGACCAUGGAUAUAUAAUAGAGGAGCGCAGGCAUUUGAAAUGCGAGAUCGAAAGGUUAAAAACGGCACACUUCGAAAGUUCAUCAGAAAGAGUAGAAAAGAUAAGAGGUCUAAACUCGAGAUCACAAUUUCCAAAAUCACCCUUGACAGUAAACCUAUGAAAGAUUAUUCAUGUGAUUUAAGGAGAACCGAAGUUAAUAGGGGACCCCUGAAUCAAACUCUAAGAUUUUGAUAUUAGUCAAGUUAGAUAACCGAGUCUUUUAUUUUAUUUCUAAAAAGAGGUAAUUCGUGAAAAAUAUUAUAAAUAAAAGUAUUAUGUAUUCUUUAACAUUUUCUUUUAUCAAAAAAAUUGGAUGGAUAAAAGUGUGGAGAUAGAACCAAAGGCCAUAAGGCCGUCCGGACAGGGUCUCAGACUGGGCAUGGGUCCCACACAUAUAUUAGUCUUUGAAAACAAAUGCCACAAGGCUAUCCGGACAGAGGUCCCAGAUCGGGCAUAAGUUUUGCACAUAUUUUAGGCAUUGGUCCGCAGAAACAAAGAUCACAAGACCAUUCAGCAGAGGUCCCGGAUCGGGCAUGGAUCCCGCAUCAUAAUUUGGACGUUGAUCCACAGAAACGAACUCAUAAAAGCAAUGGAUAACUCAUCAGCAAUUGGACGAGUGUCGCUCAUGUAUUCGGCUACAGGGUGACUGCCUUUGGUGAUACGAGCAAGUUGGUCUUGUAAAUGAAUGAUUCGGGUUUGAGAUUUGCUGCCAAAAGCAGUUUGAAGAGAGGUCCAUACUUUGCAAGCAAUGGAAGCAUUUGUGAUCGAAUAAGCAAGUGUGGGAACAACAGAAGCUAAUAUGGCAUUAUGAACUAAUUUAUCUUGUUGAAACCAUUUCUGGUAAGCCGGAUUGGAAGUAGUAUUGUUGUCAAUAGUGAUUGUUUAUGGUGGGGCAGGGAAGCUACCAUCUAGAUAGCCAUGAAUAUUGUGUCCAUACAUUGAGCAUGGAGACUUGGGAUUUCUAAGUUGUGUAGUUGCUGCUGCCUGUGAGUUUGAGAGGUAACUGAGAUGCUGGAUUAAAUUGCACUACAAUGUUAGUGCCGGUGGUGAUGUCAGAGUUGACAGCGUUUAUAGUUGAGGCCAUUAUGAGAUCGGAAACUGUGGGCGACGAAGGGAAAAAUAAAUAAAUCAAUACUCGUUGGAGUGUAUUAUUACUCUGAUACUAUAAGAGAUAUUUAAGUAAAUGGAGAAAUUUAUAUUUUAUUCAAUAAUAAAUUAAGUAUAUAUAAGUAAUAUAUUCAACACAGUUCUAAAAUAAUCUCAAUAAUAUAAUUGAAAUAUAAAAAAUAAAAAAAUAAAAAAUCAAUCAAUAAAAAUUAAAAUUAAGAAAAAUUAAAUAAAAAAAUAAUAAAAUAGUGGACUUGGUGAUCAGCAUUUGAAACAGUUGGUUAUUAAUUUGCAGCAGAAUAAAGACAUCUCUUGCUAAUUCCGUCAAAAAUAUAAAAGGAUGAACGAGGAAUUUGUGGGCUAUAUAUGAACGAGGAAUUGUGAGCCCACAAAAAUAACCUUAAUUUAAAUAUUAUUUUAUAAUUUUAAUUAUAAUAUAAUUAUAUGUUAGAAAUUCUUAAUAAUAAUUUAAGUAAAAGCCUAUUUAUGUGCAUACAGUAGUAUUAUUUUAGAAUUUUGAUUUUAAUAUAAUUAUAUUGUAAAUGGAAAUCAAUUGUCUUUUUAAAAUUAGAAUUCUAAUCAAUAUUUACAUUUAAAUAUAAACAUUUUAAUUUCAAUUUAAUUUUAUUUAAAUUUUAAAUGCCUUUAAUGGCUAAGUCUAUAAAAAAAAAAAAAGAAUUUUGAACAAUAAUAUAAAUGAAACGUUGAGAAUCUACGCAUGUAAAUUGUGGAUAGUGUAUGUGUAUAGAUUAUAUAGAAUUAGAGUGUUUAAAAUCACCAUAAUUUUAAAAUUAAUUGUUUUUUAAUAAAAAAAAUUAAUUUUAUAAAAUAUAAAAAUAUUUUAAUUAAAUAAUUUUUAAAUAUAAAUGAACUAAUAAUUUUUUACCCAUUAUAAUUCUCUCAUAUGGUUUGGAAUUUUUGUUUUAAAUGAAAAUUGAAAAUUGAAUAUUGAAAAUUGGAGAGUAGAAUUAGACAUCUAUUAGAUUUACUCAAAUACACUUAUUAUAAGACUAAAUUUGUGAGUGCAUAGUUUGGGAUAUUAUUAAAUUUUAAAAUACCACAAACAUUAUAUAAAUAUAUAAACCCAUGAGGCGAAAACAUAGCAGGAAACUUAUAAGCAUACAUGUCAAUUAUUGAGAUGGCAAGAGCACCAUUUAUUUACUUGGAUUCCCCUCAAUAGAAACAUCCAACACUUUACCUAACAACGUACCCAAGAUUAUAAGCAUACUUGACGAGAUCUUCCAUUUCUGACAUGUCCACAACUCCAUCUCCAUUAGAAUCAGCAAGUUUGAUUCCUUGACGGGCCUGUUGAGCAGGGAACAUAGCACCAAGAUAAUUGAAAGCUUGUCUAAUCUCUUCCCGGCUAAGAACGUUGUCUCCAUUCAGAUCGAACUUCAUGAAGAUUUGCCUCACUUGGUCUUCAGUCAGGGGAGCAGGAGCACUUCUGUAACUGUUCACACGGCGGGGAUUGGAGGGAAUAUGAUAUGAACAUGGUGGUGGUGGAGUUGGGUUGCUUGGAAACCAAGCAGAUUGGGCAACAGCAGGAGAUGAUCCCCAGAAAGCACCAUUUGCGGGCUUGUCAUUGCACAUUGAGGGCUUCUCCUCAUGCAUUGGCUGAUGGUUUUGGGAAUGGAAAGGAAAAGGAGUGAUGUUAUAUUCUUGGGUGUAUUGGAUAGAGUAAGACAUGGUUUUCAAGUGGUGAGGGGACUUAAACAGGUUUUGAGUUUGUAGUUUUCUUGA
rnacentral:lncRNA from 1 species